CCCGUUUCUGCAGAAACUGAUUUUUUUCUUCUUCUUUUUUUUGCAUUCCUCUCAAUGUGCCAAUAAUUCUCUUUAUGAGCUGUGUUGAUGUUUACUCGACCGCAGCUACUGGCUCCCUGCAGCCCGGUUGCACAUAGAGCCCCCCACGUACCCAACCGUGGGGGGCCCCCCGUGCAGGUAAAAAGAACCAGAAUGAGCGCCAGUGAGACAUCCGCGACUUUGACAGCUGCAUGGAGCUUCUUUUUUUUUUUUUCCUAGAGUCGUAAUUUCAGAUAAUAUCCCGAGCCGUGCGCCUUCUCCUCUCUCUGACAAUUUGUAUAUGAAUAACCGAAUAAUUUCCCCCCCUUUUGUUCCAUCCGCUGCUACCUCAAAUCCAAAUAAAGAUGGCUUUUUAGUAUUAAAAGUGGUAGAAAAUUACAGGUAAUUAUCUUUGACGGUAAAAACGCUGUAAUCAGCGGGGCUACAUCAAAAAUUACCCUAAUUAUGCCUGCAUUUAUGAGAAUGGAGGGGUGGAAAAAAAAAGAGGAGAAAAAAAAAAGGCUCACUUGGAUAAAAACCCCAAAUAUCUCCUUCAUAUUGAACGCCGCUGCAGCUGGCUGCUUUGUUCAAGCAUCGAUCCCUGUGGAGCUUGGCAUUUUAGGACGGAGGGAAGGGAGAAAACAUUUUGUCAAUACUUCUAAUAAUUGAGGGUGAAGCGACGAGAUGAGCUGGACCUGGAGCAAAUGUCUUUCGGGGCUUCUGGUCUCCAUCCUGUUCCCUCUUCCCCUCUUCUCCAUCUCCCUCUUCAUAUCCACUCCACAUCAACUCUAACCUCCACGCCCCACCCCCCACCCCCCCACCCCGCCAUACCUCUCGCCAUUUUUCCCUUCCUUCCCUCACCCCUUUCUCACCCCCCAUAGGUACGCCUCCAUCCACUCUUGGCAGCCACAUCUCUUCCUAACUGCCCCCUCCUCCUCCGCCUGCCUGGCUCGCCCACCCCUCUCCCUGGUUGGUUUCCACAGCUGUGGUGAGUGAGGGGCAGAUGACCGGAGAAUUGGCCCCUGGGAGAGCGCUGAGCCAUCCUGGUGCUAUUAGGCUCGUGGCUAAUAAUAGGUGUUUCAGACCAGGGGAAGAUCAAUCAGGGGGAAUCAUGGGGAAUGUUCAGAGCAGCGCUUUUUACACAUCGGCCCAGAUGGAUGAAAUUACACUUGUCAGUUUUUAGUUGCAUUACUCCCAAAUUGGUUGUCUACUCUUUUUUUUUUUCUCUUCCUCUCUCCCUCACUCUCCCUCUUCUCUCCUUUCUCUCUCUUUGCCCCCCAUUCAUGUGUCAGUGGCCUGCUAAAAGGAUUCGCCGGUGAAAUCCCUGUCAUUUUUGUCUUUUGCCUGUUUAGCCCUCAGCCGGCAACAACUCCCUCGCCUUGCAUGUAUGCACUUAGAAAACAUCAACUCACGUCUUAGGGGCUCGGCCAAUUUCCAUGUUAAAGCCAGAGUCUGCCGCUGACAUUCCGCGUGCGUUCUGCAUGCAUAAUAAAGCCAUUUGAUGUUGUCACUGUCAAACACCCAGAGGACAAUCACAGAAAGUAGCAGAUGAAGAGAAAAAUUGAUUUGCGCCAAUGUUAACCGUUUCUUAAACAAGGAGUUGCUUCAUGUCUUGAUAAAUGGAGGAUUCAAAGUGAGGCGAGGCAUUUACGCUGAUGAUGGACUUUCAUUUGAGGUGCACAAAAAUGUUUAAAACCAAUUGUAAACAGUGUUUAUUUAGAGUCUAAAACCAGCAGUAGAAUGCACAUUUACACUCAAACGCUUAUCAUGAAAAUUAUUACAAAUGUUCAUAUAUUUUGAAUCAGGCCACCUAAUGAAAUGUUAUAUUGCAAUUUUCCUUUUUUGUGUCUCUGUUCUUUCUAAUAUAUUUUUAAUAUGCUGUCUUCUAACUUGCAAUGGAUGGCCUUGAUCUGACUAAUUCCUCUUGCUAUUUAACAACAUUUAGCAACUAUUUGCAAUUUUCUUUUUACAUGGUUGGUCUUUCCCCACUGUAAAUAUCUUUAAUACAUUUGGAAAUGUCUUUUGAGUGAUAUGAGAAAGUCCACAAAAUAUUGUUUUGUCUACAUUCAGCACUGUUGUUUUAGAAUGGGAGAUACCUGAGGAAAACAAAAUAAAAAGGUUUGUGAGUGUAAAAUGAAGCUUUGCAGUCAUGAAACCGUUCCAAUGUUAAUGUUUACAAAAAAAAAAACAAAAAAAAACUGCACUUAAAGGAAAUUGAUCUUUGAGUCAAACGCAUAAAUCAUGUUUUAAGUGCGCAGAAAUAAUCCGUGUUGUAAUGGUGUAAUUAAAGCUGCAAUUUGCAAAUGAAACAUUCAGACUGUAUCUCACUGCUUGAAACAAAAUAAAAUGAACUUUUAAUCAUA